UACGGGGGGGGCAAGCGUUGUUCGGAAUUACUGGGCGUAAAGGGCUCGUAGGCGGCCAACUAAGUCAGACGUGAAAUCCCUCGGCUUAACCGGGGAACUGCGUCUGAUACUGGAUGGCUUGAGUUCGGGAGAGGGAUGCGGAAUUCCAGGUGUAGCGGUGAAAUGCGUAGAUAUCUGGAGGAACACCGGUGGCGAAGGCGGCAUCCUGGACCAUUACUGACACUGAAAAGCGAAAGCCAGGGGAGCAAACGGG
rnacentral:rRNA from 1 species